UCGAGUUUAUUCAACUCCCAAACCCUAUGUGAACUUACCAUAUUGUUGCUUCGGCGGACCGUCCCAGGCAAGAUCCCUCGUGGUCUUUCUGGAAACCAGGCGCCCGCCGGAGGUCUCAAACUCUUCUGUUUCUUGCAGUAUUUAUCUGAGUGGCCGAAAGGCAAAAAAACAAAUGAAUCA
rnacentral:misc_RNA from 1 species